GGGCCCGCACAAGCGGUGGAGCAUGUGGUUUAAUUCGAUGCAACGCGAAGAACCUUACCUGCCCUUGACAUCCUCGGAAGGGACCGGAAACGGACCUGUGCCUUCGGGAACCGAGAGACAGGUGCUGCAUGGCUGUCGUCAGCUCGUGUCGUGAGAUGUUGGGUUAAGUCCCGUAACGAGCGCAACCCCUAUCCUUAGUUGCCAUCAGUUCGGCUGGGAACUCUAGGGAGACUGCCGGUGACAAACCGGAGGAAGGUGGGGAUGACGUCAAGUCAUCAUGGUCCUUAUGGGCAGGGCUACACACGUGCUACAAUGGCCGGUACAAAGGGCAGCGAAGCUGUAAAGUGGAGCGAAUCUCACAAAACCGGCCUCAGUUCGGAUUGGAGUCUGCAACUCGACUCCAUGAAGGUGGAAUCGCUAGUAA
rnacentral:rRNA from 1 species